GUAGUUUGUCCGAGUGGUUAAGGAGUCAGACUUGAAAUCUGGUGGGCUCUGCCCGUGCAAGUUCAAAUCCUGCAGCUGACG
rnacentral:tRNA from 1 species